GACGAACGCUGGCGGCGUGCUUAACACAUGCAAGUCGAACGGAAAGGCCCUGCUUUUGUGGGGUGCUCGAGUGGCGAACGGGUGCGUAACACGUGAGUAACCUGCCCUUGACUUUGGGAUAACUUCAGGAAACUGGUGCUAAUACCGGAUAGGAGCUCCUGCUGCAUGGUGGGGGUUGGAAAGUUUCGGCGGUUGGGGAUGGACUCGCGGCUUAUCAGCUUGUUGGUGGGGUAGUGGCUUACCAAGGCUUUGACGGGUAGCCGGCCUGAGAGGGUGACCGGCCACAUUGGGACUGAGAUACGGCCCAGACUCCUACGGGAGGCAGCAGUGGGGAAUAGUGCACAAUGGGCGGAAGCCUGAUGCAGCAACGCCGCGUGCGGGAUGACGGCCUUCGGGUUGUAAACCGCUUUCGCCUGUGACGAAGCGUGAGUGACGGUAAUGGGUAAAGAAGCACCGGCUAACUACGUG
rnacentral:rRNA from 1 species